CUCUAUUUAAGAUUAUGUAUAAUCCUUCCUGGCCAUAGAUGAGCUUGUUCUUGUCUAUUGGCAAAGCUGCCACCAUUUAAUUGGUAUCAGAUUCUGACUUUCAGAAGUGCUAUUC